rnacentral:lncRNA from 1 species
UUUAAAAUAACUUUUUAUACAAUACCCCCCCCACCUCCCUCUGAGUUUUUGAUCUCCCGACGAACAAGUACAUCUCUUUAAUUACUGUGACAGCCACAACAGGCCAGUUGAAGUACUACUGCUCACCCAUCCACACUCUCCUCACAUUGAUUGUUGUCUCUAAUAUCAAUGUCUUUGCUGCUUGUUCAGAACUAGACGGUGUGAUUUUGUUAUUGUUGACCUGCUCUUAUUACUUUCUGUUGCUCUUUUGUUCCUGUUAGAUAAAAGGUCCUCUCAACGUAGCAUUCUCUUCUCACAAGCUACAGACGUUCUAUACCAAGGGUCUCAACCUUAUUCCUGGAGAGCUACCCUCCUGUAGUUUUUCGCUCCAACCCCAGUUGUAACUAACCUGGUUCAGUUUAUCAACUAGCUAAUUUUGAGAAACGUGUGUGCUAGAUUAGGGUUGGUGUGAAAUUCUACAGGACAGUAGUGCUCCAGGAACAGGGUUGGAGAGCCCUGUUAUAUACACUGCAAAAAAGGACGUUUUGCGGAAGAAAGAUUCUCCUAUUCAUCAAGUUUGUUUACCCUAAGAACACUGAAUUAAUAGCUUGAAUGCUUUAUAUAAAAAUAAAACAAAUACAUUUUCUGUGGAGGCAAUUUUUUUUCUCAAGAUACUUUCACAUGAAACUUCUGGUCAGGGAAACAUUUGUUCAAUGAAAAUGCAAGUCAUGUUGCGAGAAAGAAAUAUAAAGUUAUAUGCUCUUAUUUUAAGAUACCGUUUGACUAUUUUCUUUUCGAAUUUUUUUAUUUUCUUCAAUUGAUAAAUGAGUCCACUCCUAUUAGUAUAAAAAACUUGUUGGUGUAUUUUUAUUGAACAGAUUUGUUACAUUAUGCAGCAGGUGUCGUACUCUGGUUCCAGAGUGCUAAGUUUGGCCAUCAAGAGUAUUGUACUACUAUAUUCAUGCUGUCCUACUCAAUGUAGGAAGGCGCUCUACUCAAAUACAACUGCACUGUGCUGUAGAAGAGACCCCUGUAACAAAAGUCGGGCUGGCAAGAGCUCCAUAUUGAGGAAGUAUUUUCAAAGUGUACAUUAUUUCAAGACAACCUUUCCAAAACCUCGGUGGCAACUAUAUAGCUCAAUUGAACUGAAUCUUGGACUAUGGUGGAAAAUGGCCAAGGUGAUGUCACACCACUGAUUUCUCAAAUGUCCAAAUACAUUUGCAAGGUAUAAUACUAUUCUCUUAGAGUGUUACAGGGAAUACAUGGGUUUAGAACUUUUGAUGUAGACUGACAGAUUCACAAAAUGGCUUACAGCUUGUUUUGAAAAUUUGAUGGGGGCGGCAUCCAAGUUGAAAUGGAUAAGAUUAUAACUUUAUUUUAUUUAUCUGCAUACAUUUUUCACUGCUUGUAAGUUGGGGUUUGUUUGUUUACUGACAGCCACCAUUUUAAGAUUAGCUUUGGGAUGUUUUGAGUAGGGCAUUUGAGUGUGCAUUUGUGUGUGCAUGCAUUUCUGGUGUCUGUAUACUUUUUGGGGGGGAGGUCAUGUGAAUGGCAAACACUUUUGCCUUGUUUGCCCACACUUAGUUUUAAGAACUAUAUUAAGACAAUUCUACAGUUCUUUCUUAUACAUUUAUGUAUAUACAUUAAAGUAUAUGUUUAUCCAAAUUAAGUACAUAAUCAGUUACUUGGGUAUACUGCCAUUUUUGCCAUACACCAAGGUAGGCAAAAAUGAAGUGGGUACAUUUUAUUUUCCACUGACUUCUACUAAGCAUUACCACAUCCAUGGGUGCAGCUUAUGAGCCCUGCAUCCUUCCUUAACUCUUACUAUUGAUGUGCUCAUAUUGUAUGUAUCCAUGUUUAAAGAAAACAGUGUAUUCUUGAAAGCCUCAAAGAUUGUAC